rnacentral:lncRNA from 1 species
ACAAGGUAGAGAAACAGAAACAACUAAGUUAUCCAACAACAUCUUUCACUCUAAAAAAGAAACUUUCACGUAAUAAUAACAUUCAUAACAACGACAACUACAGCAACAACGACAAGAAGCUAGAUAAUCUUAUUUGCGUAUUGAAGCUUUGGAGGGACAGAUUCAGAAAGCACGUACGAAAGAAAAACUACCUCUAGACUCAAUCAAGUAUGCUUAUGCUGCUUCACUUUGUAUUUUUCUCUGGAGAGAUGCUUCUCAAGUUUCUCUCUCUUUAUAUACUAACUCCCUUGUCAUUUAACUCCUUUCAAAUGUUUCAGGUCAAACUUAGCAAAAUACUAGUAUAUAAUACUAGUUGU